CGAGAACACCCGCUGAGUUUAAGCAUAUAAUUAAGCGGAGGAAAAGAAACUUACAAGGAUUCCCCUAGUAGCGGCGAGCGAACCGGGAAGAGCCCAGCAUGAAAAUCCGGCGGCAGCGUCGCCUGAAUUGUAGUCUGUAGAAGCGUCCUCAGCGGCGGACCUGGGCCAAGUCCCUUGGAAGGGGGCGCCUGAGAGGGUGACAGCCCCGUCGGCCCGGGACCCUGCCGCAUCACGAGGCGUUGUCGGCGAGUCGGGUUGUUUGGGAAUGCAGCCCUAAUUGGGUGGUAAAUUCCGUCCAAGGCUAAAUACUGGCGAGAGACCGAUAGCGAACAAGUACCGCGAGGGAAAGAUGAAAAGGACUUUGAAAAGAGAGUCAAAGAGUGCUUGAAAUUGUCGGGAGGGAAGCGGAUGGGGGCCGGCGAUGCGCCCCGGUCGGAUGUGGAACGGCGACGAGCCGGUCCGCCGAUCGACUCGGGGCGUGGACCAGCACGAAUUGAGGCGGCGGCCAAAGCCCGGGCAGUCGAUAUGCCCGUGGAAUGCCGUCGCCCCGAUUGUGGCGGACAGCGCGCGCCCUCGGCGUGCUUCGGCAUCUGCGCGCUCCCGGUGCUGGCCUGCGGGCUCCCCAUUCGACCCGUCUUGUAACACGGACCAAGGAGUCUGACAUGUGUGCGAGUCAACGGGCGAGUAAACCCGUAAGGCGCAAGGAAGCUGACUGGUGGGAUCCCCCCGAGGGGUGCACCGCCGACCGACCUCGAUCUUCUGAGAAGGGUUUGAGUGUGAGCAUACCUGUCGGGACCCGAAAGAUGGUGAACUAUGCCUGAGCAGGGCGAAGCCAGAGGAAACUCUGGUGGAGGCUCGCAGCGGUUCUGACGUGCAAAUCGAUCGUCAAAUUUGCGUAUAGGGGCGAAAGACUAAUCGAACC
rnacentral:rRNA from 1 species